rnacentral:lncRNA from 1 species
GUUUACAACCUUUUUUUUUUUUUUAGAUGGAAUGUUGUUGCUUCCUUGUGCAGGAUGAAAUGCAGUGGUGCAAUCUCGGCUCAUUGCAACCUCUGUCUCCUGGGUUCAAAGGGUCAAACAAUUCUCCUGCCUCAGCCUCCCGAAUAGCUGGGAUGACACUCGCUCUGUUACCAGGCUGGAGUGCAGUGGCGUGGUCUUGGCUUACUGCAACUUCCACCUCCCAGGUUCAAAUGGUUCUCCUGCCUCAGCUUCCCGAGUAGCUUGGACUGCAGGUGUGCACCACCAUGCUCAGCUAAUUUCUGUAUUUUUAGUUGAGAUGGGGUUUCACCAUAUUGGCCGGGAUGGUCUGGAUCUCUUGACCUUGUGAUCUGCCUGCCUUGGCUUCCCAAAGUGCUGGGAUUACA